CGGGUGAGUAACGCGUGGAUAACCUGCCUCACACUGGGGAUAACAGUUAGAAAUGACUGCUAAUACCGCAUAAGCGCACAGUACCGCAUGGUACAGUGUGAAAAACUCCGGUGGUGUGAGAUGGAUCCGCGUCUGAUUAGCCAGUUGCGGGUAACGGCCCACCAAAGCGACGAUCAGUAGCCGACCUGAGAGGGUGACCGGCCACAUUGGGACUGAGACACGGCCCAA
rnacentral:rRNA from 1 species